rnacentral:misc_RNA from 1 species
AACGCACGAGACCUGCGGACCUGCGGAAGGAUCAUUACCGAGUGCGGGCCCUCGCGGCCCAACCUCCCACCCUUGUCUCUAUACACCUGUUGCUUUGGCGGGCCCACCGGGGCCACCUGGUCGCCGGGGGACGUCGUCUCCGGGCCCGCGCCCGCCGAAGCGCUCUGUGAACCCUGAUGAAGAUGGGCUGUCUGAGUACUAUGAAAAUUGUCAAAACUUUCAGCAACGGAUCUCUAGAUC